UUGCAGAGGAUGCUUCGGGUACGGGUUCCUUCCGAGUUCCCUGGAACGGGACGCCAUAGAGGGUGAGAGCCCCGUCUGGUAGGACACCCAGCCCGUGUGAAGCUCCCUCGACGAGUCGAGUAGUUUGGGAAUGCUGCUCUAACGGGAGGUAUACUCCUUCCAAGGCUAAAUACCGGCUGGAGACCGAUAGCGCACAAGUAGAGUGAUCGAAAGAUGAAAAGCACUUUGAAAAGAGAGUCAAAUAGCACGUGAAAUUGUUGAAAGGGAAGCACUCGCUACCAGACAUGGGUUCGGCGGUUCAACCGGGGCCACGCCCCGGGGCACUCCGCCGGCCCAGGCCAGCAUCAGCUUUCCGUCGGGGGCAAAGGCGUCGGGAAUGUGGCUCUCCUUCGGGGGAGUGUUAUAGCCCGGCGUGUCAUACCCUUCGGGGGGCUGAGGUACGCGCUUCUGCAAGGAUGCUGGCGUAAUGGUAGCUAGUGACCCGUCUUGAAACACGGACCAAGGAGUCAACCUUAUGUGCGAGUGCCCGGGCGUAAAACCCCAGCGCGGAAUGAAAGUGAACGUAGGUGAGAGCUUCGGCGCAUCACCGACCGAUCCUGAUGUCCUCGGACGGAUUUGAGUGAGAGCAUAUAGGGUUGGACCCGAAAGAAGAUGAACUAUGCGUGUGUAGGGUGAAGCCAGAGGAAACUCUGGUGGAGGCUCGCAGCGGUUCUGACGUGCAAAUCGAUCGUCAAACAUGCGCAUGGGGGCGAAAGACUAAUCGAAUCUUCUGGUAGCUGGUUUCCGCCGAAGUUUCCCUCAGGAUAGCAGUGUUGAUCCCAGUUUUAUGAGGUAAAGCGAAUGAUUAGGGACUCGGGGGCGCUAUUUAGCCUUCAUCCAUUCUCAAACUUUAAAUAUGUAAGAAGUCCCCGUUACUUAGUUGAACGCGGACGCUGGAAUGUAGCAACACUAGUGGGCCAUUUUUGGUAAGCAGAACUGGCGAUGCGGGAUGAACCGAACGCGAGGUUAAGGUGCCGGAGUG
rnacentral:rRNA from 2 species